GACGAACGCUGGCGGCGUGCUUAACACAUGCAAGUCGAACGGAAAGGCCCUGCUUUUGUGGGGUGCUCGAGUGGCGAACGGGUGAGUAACACGUGAGUAACCUGCCCUUGACUUUGGGAUAACUUCAGGAAACUGGGGCUAAUACCGGAUAGGAGCUCCUGCUGCAUGGUGGGGGUUGGAAAGUUUCGGCGGUUGGGGAUGGACUCGCGGCUUAUCAGCUUGUUGGUGGGGUGAUGGCCUACCAAGGCGUCGACGGGUAGCCGGCCUGAGAGGGUGACCGGCCACAUUGGGACUGAGAUACGGCCCAG
rnacentral:rRNA from 1 species